UCCCCUCUAUUCCCCCUUCCUCCACUUCAUUAUCCUCCCCUUCCCUCUCCUGUCCUCUCUCCCUGGCACACCGUGCUCAAUCCUGUGCUCCUGCCAAGGUGUACAAAUCCAGGAAGAUGUCACCACUGUCACUGCUGGAUCCUCCCCUGCCCCCCUCCCCAGUGACUGACUGACUGUGCAAUCAGGUCUGACUCCCCUGCCCAGAGAUAACUUAUCAGUGCACGUGCUGCCUCUUGAGAAAGGGAAUGUCUUCACUUUCCAAAGUCACGGAAGAAACUGGAAAAAAGGAGACUCAGUAACUUUUAGACACUUUACACAAGGCAGGGGUGAAGUUCUCCAUGUCCCUCUGCAUCUCAUUGGGGGCUUUUCCCAG